rnacentral:rRNA from 1 species
CAUGUCUUUUUGAUUAUAAUUUAAAGUCUGACCUGCCCAAUGAGGAGUUGAAUGGCCGCGGUAUUUUGACCGUGCAAAGGUAGCAUAAUCAUUAGUUUUUUAAUUGAAAGCUGGUAUGAAUGGUUGGACGAGAAAGUAACUGUCUCAAGUUAAUUUGAAUUAGAACUUUAUUUUUAAGUAAGAAAGCUUAAAUGAUUUUAAAAGACGAGAAGACCCUAUAGAGUUUUAUAUUUCUUUAUAUAGGAUUAAUUUAGUUAUUAGGCAUUUCUAUAUAAAGGGGUAUUUUGUUGGGGUGACAGAAAAAUUAAAGUAACUUUUUCUUACUAGUAACAUUAAUUUAUGAUUCAUUGAUCCGUAUAUUACGAUUAUAAGAUUAAAUUACCUUAGGGAUAACAGCGUAAUUUUUUUUGAGAGUUCAUAUCGAAAAAAGAGUUUGCGACCUCGAUGUUGGAUUAAAAUUAACUUUUGGUGCAGGAGCUAAAAGGUUAGGUCUGUUCGACCUUUAAAAUUUUACAUG